GCUUGUCUCAAAGAUUAAGCCAUGCAUGUCUAAGUAUAAACUGCUUAUACUGUGAAACUGCGAAUGGCUCAUUAAAUCAGUUAUAGUUUAUUUGAUGGUACCUCUACUCGGAUAACCGUAGUAAUUCUAGAGCUAAUACGUGCGUAAAUCCCGACUUCUGGAAGGGACGUAUUUAUUAGAUAAAAACCAAUGCCUCGUGCUUUUGGUGAGUCAUGAUAACUGCGCGGAUCGCAUGGCCUUGCGCCGGCGACGCUUCAUUCAAAUUUCUGCCCUAUCAACUUUCGAUGGUAAGAUAGAGGCUUACCAUGGUGUUAACGGGUAACGGGGAAUUGGGGUUCGAUUCCGGAGAGGGAGCCUGAGAAAUGGCUACCACUUCCAAGGAAGGCAGCAGG
rnacentral:rRNA from 1 species